AUAUCAGUCAUGCAUAGCAUAUCAAUAAGCGGAGGAAAAGAAACUAACAAGGAUUCCCUUAGUAACGGCGAGUGAAGCGGGAAGAGCUCAAAUUUGAAAUCUUCAAGGUUUUACCUUGACGAAUUGUAGUUUAAAGAAGUGUUUUCUGUUGGAGUUUUGGUAAAAGUUCUUUGGAAUAGGACAUCAUAGAGGGUGAGAAUCCCGUAUUUGGUCAUUCCUCCUAGCGUUGUGAUACACUUUCAACGAGUCGGAUUGUUUGGGAAUGCAGUCCAAAAUGGGUGGUAAAUUUCAUCUAAAGCUAAAUAUUGGCGAGAGACCGAUAGCGAACAAGUACCGUGAGGGAAAGAUGAAAAGAACUUUGAAAAGAGAGUUAAACAGUACGUGAAAUUGUCAAAAGGGAAGCGUUUGACACCAGUGUUGUUUUUCCGAAAAUCAAUUACGAAUGUUUUGUUUUUGAGGAGUUAUGACUUCAUCGGCUUGCUCCUUUCUUUAUGAAACUUUCUUAAUGCACUUUUCGGUUAACAAGUCAACAUCAAUUUCUUUUGUUGUAAAAGGGUAUGAGGAAGGUGGCUUUCUUUUCGGAGAAAGUGUUUAUAGCCUUGUGCCUCUGCAAUCGGAGAGAUUGAGGUCUGCAGCGUAGAUCCUUCGGGGUUAGAUACGUUUGUGCUAAGUUAUAGCUUUUCAUAGACAACUUGUUGACUAUGUUUAGUCUUGUAGCUUACUCGCUGACGCUAUUUUACCUACGCUUAGGAUGUUGAUGUGAUACUGCGAGCA
rnacentral:rRNA from 1 species